UACGUAGGGUGCAAGCGUUAAUCGGAAUUACUGGGCGUAAAGCGUGCGCAGGCGGUGAUGUAAGACAGAUGUGAAAUCCCCGGGCUUAACCUGGGAACUGCAUUUGUGGCUGGCAGGCUAGAGUAUGGCAGAGGGGGGUAGAAUUCCACGUGUAGCAGUGAAAUGCGUAGAGAUGUGGAGGAAUACCGAUGGCGAAGGCAGCCCCCUGGGCCAAUACUGACGCUCAUGCACGAAAGCGUGGGGAGCAAACAGG
rnacentral:rRNA from 1 species